rnacentral:rRNA from 1 species
GAUGAACGCUGGCGGCGUGCCUAAUACAUGCAAGUCGAGCGAAGCGGGGACGGGUGAGUAACACGUGGAUAACCUCCUAUAAGACUGGAAUAACUGCGGGAACCCGGAGCUAACCCGGUAACUUAUAGCUUGAUCCGCGCUGCAUUAGCGAGUUGGUAAGGGAACGGCUUACCAAGGCAACGAUGCAUAGCCGACCUGAGAGGGGGAUCGGCCACACUGGAACUGAGACACGUCCCAGACUCCUACGGGAGGCAGCAGUGGGGAAUCUUCCGCAAUGGGCGAAAGCCUGACGGAGCCACGCCGCGUGAGUGAUGAAGGUCUUCGGAUCGUAAAACUCUGUUAUUAGGGAAGCGGUACCUAAUCAGAAAGCCACGGCUAACUACGUGCCAGCAGCCGCGGUAAUUC